rnacentral:lncRNA from 1 species
UCAUUUUGUUAUUUGGAAUGACUUCCCAUCCAUAUAAUCAUCCAUACAUUGAAAAUUCAAUACCCUGAAAAUAAUACUUAAACAAUGUAAUCUCAUAAGACGAGACCUGGUGGUUUUCUGAGAACAAAAAAACUAAGAUAAUAAUACUCUGUAUUACAGUUUUACUUUUAUACGAUCAUUUGUAGCUGUCCCUGUAGACACUACUCUGGAGUUUUGCUCACUGUCAGACUCACAAGUAUAGCAGUGUAGUAUUGAUCUUUUACAUAAGAAAUGGCCUAUCAACACUGAGGGUUACUGUGUCACAUCAAUGAAUCUAUUAUGAAAUUGAAUGAUGUGUGUCACUGGUUUUCUGAAGUGAACUAAAACUGUCAAUUUCUCUCCCCUCCAAACGGCUGACCGUCAUUGUGUGUUCCUGCUGAUGUCCUGUGCUGUCUCUACAGUGUGAGUACAAAUAAACACUCAAUUUGUUAGUUAUGACAGUUACUAAACUGAUAUGUAAGUCGUUGGGAAUGACUUCUCAUCUAUAUAAUCGUUGUUGACAGGAAUUACAUCCAUACGUUGGAAAAUUCAACACCCAGAAUAUAAUAAUCAAAGAAUUUGAUCUUCAUUGAAAUGAGAUGAGACCUGCUGGUUUUCUGAGAACAAUCUAAACAUCUGUCUGUCUCCACAGUCCUUGUGGCCCAACCACACUGUAGUCUUGCUCAAUGUCGCAAUAAACAUGAUAGAUCAUAUGAUUUAAUAUGAUACCAAGCACAUCAAAUUUUGUGACCAGUGUCGUGUGUAACUCCAACCCAAACAAACAGACGGGAGAAGCAGAGUGACAUUAAUACCAACAAAAUGAUAUAUUCAAGUAUACACAGAGCUGAGAUGGGGAAGUAGUUAGUCGUGAUUUGUAGUUAAACUUUAACUUUUAAAUUGUUUCCUUUAAUAGAUAUAGAGGACACUGAUUACCUGCUGCGUUUUUGCCUGCCUGUGUGGCCUGCAAACUCCGAAGUACACAGAGGACCUUGACCAGCGCCUGUGCUUUUGCCUGGUGCCUUGCUGAUUUUCUAUCUGUUGUCUCUCCUCUCAUGCUCUCUCUCCCUUUCUGUCCAAUCAGGGAUCAGGUCCUGGUUGUUGUAUUGGCUUUCUGUCUGUGCCUGGCUCUACUCUACCCUCUCUCUCCCUUUCUAUCCAUCAGAUUUUGAGACAUUUUGGCUUUUGAGACAUUUUGGCUUUUGAGACAUCUUGGCUUUUGAGACAUUUUGGACUGAAAUUUUCUAUCUGUUGUCCCUCUCACGCUCUCUCUUUCUGACCAAUUGGGAACUGCCCCAAUUGUUGUUAUUGGAUUUAUCAGCAUAUCAUAUCAGAAAAACUUGGUGAUUGUGAAAACAAUUCAGCUGCAAUUUGAGAUUUUGGAUUGAGAUCUUCUAUUGGUUCUCCCUCUCACGCUCUCUCCCCUUGUGACCAAUUGACCUGAACAAGUUUGACCAGCAUAUUACCACUACCUUAUUGACCAGACUUGAUUUGACAAGCGUUCACUAGCAUUUGAUUUUUGAACUGGUACCAUUGAUUCUAAUUAACUUAAUUGUUAAGUAAGGUAUUGAAAUAAUUGAUUUGAACAUUGAUACAUUGUCCUAACGCAUGAGGUAAUUUAACAAUAGACGGAAAUUUUCAAAAACGAACACAUUUACACAAGAAAUAUUUGGAUAGAGAACAGAUCUUGGAUUUUGGCUUGAAAAAAUACUGGCUUGAGAAAUUACUGAAUUACUGGCUUUUACUGGAUUGACUUUUACUGGAUUGACUUUUCAGUUUCACAAGCACAUUAUCUUGACAAAACAUUACACACUGUGUCAGAGCAGGUUAUCACUGCCUUAUUGACCUGAUUUGAUUUGAACUAUAACAUUGAUCAUCUUUUGAUAAGCAUUAAGGAGCAUUUGAUUUGAACUGCUAACAUUAAUUCUAAUUAAUUUGAUUGUUAACUACAUUUAAAUAACUGAUUUGAGCAUUGAUACAUUGUCAGAAGAUUUUGGAAAACAAUAUACACAAGUAAUAUUUGGAGUGAUAAUCCAUAUUUAUACUAGAAAAUAAAAUAGAAACUGAGGUUUUUUUUCAUUUUUCAAAAGUUUGUGUUUACUGAACUAGUGGGAAUAAGUGUAAAGGUAAAACUAUAUCAUACAGUGCAUUUGUUGUCUCCUCUUCAUCUUUAGUCCUGCUCACAUUAUUUGAAUCAAAAAGUUUUUUGUUGUUUAAAGCUAUAUAUUGUAUUAAAGCCAUCAGUUGUUUGAAGAAGCUGUGAUUGAUUCUGAUAUUUGACUAUAAAGCUGAUAGUCUUUAGUCUAUAUUAACUUGGUUAAGAAAUAAGAUUUGGAUUGCUGUCACUGUAUACCACAUUUGAGCAUUAGUACAUAUCUCUUGAUAGUACUUUAAAGCAUUGAAUAAACAGUAAAACAAACCAAAUAAACUCAAGUUUUACCUGAGCAUACUUUUAGGUCAUUUCUGCAGGCUAAAAAGGGUUUUCUGAAAAAAAAAAAGUGUUUGAGUGUGGUUUGAAUCUACAACAAUGCCGAAGAAAAGUAAGAAGUCCCAAGCUGCACGCUUAC